rnacentral:rRNA from 1 species
CCUACGGGAGGCAGCAGUGGGGAAUCUUGCGCAAUGGGCGAAAGCCUGACGCAGCCAUGCCGCGUGAAUGAUGAAGGUCUUAGGAUUGUAAAAUUCUUUCACCGGGGACGAUAAUGACGGUACCCGGAGAAGAAGCCCCGGCUAACUUCGUGCCAGCAGCCGCGGUAAUACGAAGGGGGCUAGCGUUGCUCGGAAUUACUGGGCGUAAAGGGAGCGUAGGCGGAUAGUUUAGUCAGAGGUGAAAGCCCAGGGCUCAACCUUGGAAUUGCCCUUGAUACUGGCUAUCUUGAGUACGGAAGAGGUAUGUGGAACUCCGAGUGUAGAGGUGAAAUUCGUAGAUAUUCGGAAGAACACCAGUGGCGAAGGCGACAUACUGGUCCGUUACUGACGCUGAGGCUCGAAAGCGUGGGGAGCAAACAGGAUUAGAUACCCUGGUAGUCCACGCUGUAAACGAUGAGUGCUAGUUGUCGGCAUGCAUGCAUGUCGGUGGACGCAGCUAACGACAUUAAGUACACCUCCGCCGUCGGGGAGGUACGGUCGGCGAAGAAUUAAAACUAACAAAUAGAAGUUAGACGGCGUGAGACGUAGCCGACGGACGACCGACGAGGGGAGGUUAGG